rnacentral:rRNA from 1 species
UCGAGAGGCUUCGUCAAUGGGGGAAACCCUGAACGAGCGACGCCGCGUGGGGGAUGAAGGCCUUCGGGUUGUAAACCCCUGUCGUGCGGGAAGAAAGAUUCAGUGGCAAACAGUCACAGGAUCAUGACGGUACCGCAAAAGGAAGCUCCGGCUAACUCCGUGCCAGCAGCCGCGGUAAUACGGGGGGAGCUAACGUUGUUCGGAAUCACUGGGCGUAAAGGGCGCGUAGGCGGCCUCGUAAGUGGAAUGUGAAAGCCCCUGGCCCAACCAGGGAACUGCGUCCCAUACUGCGAGGCUUGAGUGCAGAAGAGGAUGGGGGAAUUCCCGGUGUAGCGGUGAAAUGCAUUGAUAUCGGGAGGAACACCAGUGGCGAAGGCGCCCAUCUGGUCUGCUACUGACGCUCAGGCGCGAAAGCCGGGGGAGCAAACAG